GCUGUACCUCAGGAAGCCCCACGGCCUGCACUGUUCCCUGCCCAUGCCAACAGGCUACCCUCUCUGCCCGCGUCCACGUGGGGAGCUUUUCCAUCAGCAUCUGCACACCCAGACGUGAGGGUGCAGCUCUCAUCUGCUGUGCCUCAGAUCUGGAUUUAACACUUGGGAGGGGCUGCUGGGCUCACCCCCUCAGCUCUGAGUCUGCACUUAGCUUUCAUUUGCAAAUGAUAAAUUCUGCCUUGCACAGGCGUGCUGGCUGCAGGGCAGUGCAAAUUCAAUCCUUUUCAAGUCUGGCCAAAAACAUGCCCCAAAUUAAGAGAUUGCAGCCUAUUUACAAUACAAAAUAAAAUAACUCUAGGAGGGCUUGGUGGUGGUAUGAAUAAAUGCCGUUUAUUCUCUUUCUGACGGGAUAAUUUUCAAAGCAGUGAUUUUUAUAAAAACUCAGGAAGAAAACAAUUUUGUUUCAUUUCCAUAACAGAAUCCAGACCUUGAGCUUCACCCUGCGAUCAGUGAUUACACACACACUGCACCGUUUCGGCUGCAGCGGCUCCUGCUGUCCACCGGCUCCCGUCCUCCCUGCCUGUAACCGUCUGUGGUGAUUCGCGGCACUGCAGGACCAUGAUGGCCCGGAUCUGCUCGGACGCUCCGCCUCAGCUUCUCAUGGCCGCCCUCGCUAUUGCCACCCCUGCCCAGGCUGCAUCAAGGAGGUCAGGGGCCAGGGGAGAACUCUUUUGUUAUUGAGAAGUUUGAUUGCAAGACCUGACCCUUCCUGUGUGGACGGAUGGGCAGAUGCCCAGACUGGAAAGUCCUUGUGAACUUAUGCGCCCAGGCCAGGUCCAUAUCAUCAGUUCGUAGAAGCUGGCACAGACCAGUGAUUCAUAUGCCCAGGCCAGGUCCAUAUCAUCAGCUCACAGAAGCCAGCACAGCCCAGCGAGUAGCCCUACAGACUCCACGUGGCCCAUGAGUAUCACGGUCA
rnacentral:lncRNA from 1 species